rnacentral:rRNA from 1 species
GUAGGGAAUAUUGGGCAAUGGAUGCAAGUCUGACCCAGCCAUCCCGCGUGCCGGAAGAAGGCCCUCAGGGUUGUAAACGGCUUUUGACGGUGAAGAAUCGACAGGAUGCGUCCUGUUUUGACGGUAGCCGUUGAAUAAGCACCGGCUAACUCCGUGCCAGCAGCCGCGGUAAUACGGAGGGUGCGAGCGUUGUCCGGAUUUAUUGGGUUUAAAGGGUGCGUAGGCUGGAAGGUCAGUCAGCGGUGAAAAGCUGUCGCUUAACGAUAGUCUUGCCGCAGAUAGUUCCUUUCUUGGAUGAGGAGGAGGCCACUGGAACGGAUGGUGUAGCGGUGAAAUGCAUAGAUAUCAUCCAGAACACCGAUUGCGAAGGCAGGUGGCUGUACCUUAAUCGACGCUGAUGCACGAAAGCAUGGGGAGCAAACAGGAUUAGAAACCCGGGUAGUCC